AGAGGAAUAGCUGGGUCAAAUGAUGGUUCCAUUCCCAGAUUUACAUGGAAUCUCCAUACUGCUUUCCAAAUUGGCUGCACCAAUUUGCAGUCCCACCAGCAAU
rnacentral:pre_miRNA from 1 species